CCAGUUCACGCUCCUUUUCCUGGAUGAACAUGGUUUCAUGCAAUGGAGCAUGCGUGCAGUAGCCAUGUCUACGCAUGCGUCGUUUGAACCUCCAUGAAUUUUACAGCUGUUUACAUUAUCCUGAUAUCUGUGUGCGCAGUUUGUACGACACGUUGCAAUUGUUGUACCAACAAGAAACAGUACUGCAAUAAGAACUAUGCUCACUUUUCUCUGCAUUUU
rnacentral:lncRNA from 1 species